rnacentral:ncRNA from 2 species
AUGUUAUCAAGAAAGGUGGAGGGAUUAGACCCAAUGAAACCUUAGCAACCCUUAAACUUAUUAAGAAGGUGCUAACUUCUACUAAAUUAGCGAUUCAUUUAUCGUAUAAUUAGAUAGAUAACUU